rnacentral:rRNA from 1 species
AUUGAACGCUGGCGGCAUGCUUUACACAUGCAAGUCGGACGGCAGCGGGGUAGUGCUUGCACUACUGCCGGCGAGUGGCGAACGGGUGAGUAACAUAUCGGAACGUACCGAGCAGUGGGGGAUAACUAAUCGAAAGAUUAGCUAAUACCGCAUAUAUUCUGAGGAAGAAAGCAGGGGACCUUUGGGCCUUGCGCUGUUUGAGCGGCCGAUAUCUGAUUAGCUGGUUGGUGGGGUAAAGGCCUACCAAGGCGACGAUCAGUAGCGGGUCUGAGAGGAUGAUCCGCCACACUGGGACUGAGACACGGCCCAGACUCCUACGGGAGGCAGCAGUGGGGAAUUUUGGACAAUGGGGGCAACCCUGAUCCAGCCAUGCCGCGUGUCUGAAGAAGGCCUUCGGGUUGUAAAGGACUUUUGUCCCGGGAAGAAAAGCGCGAUGUUAAUACCAUUGCGUGCUGACGGUAACCGGAAGAAUAAGCACCGGCUAACUAAC